CCGCAUAGUCCUGGAGGAGAAGAGGAGAGGAGAAGAGGCUGGAGGCGGAGGGGCGGCGGAUCGGGCGAUGGCACACCGGGCAGACAUGAGGAUCGGCUGAGAUCACACGGAGCACCAUAGACGAGUCCUCCGGGAUCGGGGAAAAUGAUUCCAGUUACUGAAUUCCGUCAGUUCUCGGAACAACAACCAGCGUUCCGUGUACUCAAACCCUGGUGGGAUGUCUUCACCGAAUAUCUCUCAAUGGCCAUGCUGAUGAUUGGCGUAUUUGGCUGUACACUGCAGGUCAUGCAGGACAAGAUCAUCUGUCUGCCAAAAAGAGUACCGGUACAUACAGUUCACAACACUUCUGUCUAUAACGCAUCAAGUCCUGUCCUCAAUGUGCCUCUUCCAGCUGCCAAGCCAUUAACGUCUUCUGGGACUGUGGAAAUGAAAGGGUUAAAAACAGAUCUGGAUCUUCAGCAGUAUAGUUUCAUUAAUCAAAUUUGUUACGAGCGUGCUCUUCACUGGUAUGCUAAAUAUUUCCCAUAUCUAGUGCUUAUUCACACCUUAAUUUUCAUGGUUUGUAGCAACUUCUGGUUCAAAUUUCCCGGAUCAAGUUCAAAAAUCGAGCACUUUAUUUCCAUACUUGGAAAGUGUUUUGACUCCCCCUGGACAACACAAGCGUUAUCUGAAGUGUCUGGUGAGGAUCCAGAGGAAAAGGAUAAUCGAAAGAACAAUAUGAGUAAGUCCAUUGGUAACCCUACUGCUGUGGAGAGCCCCCUUGUUAAGACUCAGUCACUCAAAUCCAUACCAGAAAAAAUUGUGGUUGAUAAAGCAGCUGCUGGGGCCUUGGACAAAAAGGAAGGAGAACAAGCCAAGGCCUUGUUUGAAAAAGUAAAAAAGUUCCGGCUCCAUGUUCAGGAAGGGGAUUUACUAUAUGCUAUGUAUGUUCGUCAGAACGUCCUAAAGGUGCUUAAAUUCCUCAUUAUUAUCUGCUAUAACAGCGCACUUGUUUCAAAAGUACAAUUCACUGUAGACUGUAAUGUUGACAUACAAGAUAUGACCGGCUAUAACAACUUUUCCUGUAACCACACAAUGGCACAUCUGUUCUCCAAACUAUCCUUUUGUUACUUGUGCUUUGUUGGUGUGUAUGGAUUAACUUGCCUUUAUACACUUUACUGGUUGUUCCACCGAUCCUUAAAGGAAUACUCUUUUGAAUAUGUGCGCCAGGAGACUUGCAUUGAUGACAUACCGGAUGUCAAAAAUGACUUUGCCUUUUUGUUUCAUAUGAUUGAUCAGUAUGACCCACUGUACUCAAAAAGAUUUGCUGUUUUCCUUUCAGAAGUGAGUGAAAACAAACUAAAGCAGUUAAACUUAAAUAAUGAAUGGACAGCAGAUAAGUUGAGGCAGAGGUUACAAACAAAUGCCUCCAACCGUUUGGAGCUACAACUGUUUAUGCUUUCUGGUCUUCCUGACACUGUGUUUGAAGUUACGGAGCUACAGUCUUUAAAGCUGGAAAUUAUUCAUAAUGUCGUCAUGCCAGCAACAAUUGCUCAGCUCGAUAAUCUCCAAGAAUUGACGCUGUAUCAGUGCGCCAUCAAAAUUCACACAGCAGCACUGGCAUUUCUAAAAGAAAACCUAAAGAUACUAAGAGUGAAGUUUGACGAUGUUCAACAACUUCCACCUUGGAUGUACAGCCUUAGGAAUCUCGAGGAACUCUAUCUCAUCGGCUCUUUAAGCCCCGAUUUGUCUAAAAACAUCAACCUUGAGUCUUUUCGUGAGCUUAAGAGUCUAAAAAUACUAUAUAUCAAAAGUAAUUUAUCUAAAAUUCCUCAAGGAGCUGUUGACGUUUCUGGACAUCUUCAAAAGUUGUGCAUGCAUAAUGACGGCACCAAGCUGGUAAUGCUUAACAAUUUGAAGAAGAUGGUAAACGUGACCGCACUGGAACUUGUGCACUGUGAUUUAGAGCGCAUACCUCAUGCCAUUUUCAGUCUGUUAUCACUCCAAGAACUGGAUCUGAAGGAAAAUAAUCUCAAGUCCAUUGAAGAAAUUCUCAGUUUCCAACAUUUGCGCAAACUAACCACCUUAAAGCUUUGGCACAACAGUAUUACUUACAUCCCAGAACACAUCAAAAAACUUACCAGUUUGGAACAGCUAUGCUUCAACAACAACAAAAUUGAAGUGCUUCCUUCUCACUUGUUCUUGUGUCACAAACUCCGACGUUUAGAUUUGAGCUAUAAUGACAUCAGGUUCAUUCCCCCUGAGAUUGGGGUUCUUCAAAGCUUGCAGUUUUUUUCAAUAUCUUGCAACAAAGUAGAAAGUGUUCCAGAUGAACUAUACUUUUGCAAGAAACUGAAAACUUUAAAGAUUGGAAAAAAUAACUUGUGCUCACUUUCACCAAAAAUUGGAAACUUAGUGUUCCUAAGUCAUCUGGACAUUAAAGGUAAUCAAUUUGAGUCUUUACCGGCAGAACUUGGAGACUGUCGAUCCUUAAAGAAACAUGGAUUUAUUGUAGAAGACUCUCUGUUUGAGACACUUCCAUCUGAUGUUAGAGAACAAAUGAAAUCGGAGUAACACUUGGUAGUCUGUCAGCACUACCAUAUUGAUUUAUUACUUUAUGGCCUUGGAAACAAAAUCACAAACUACUAGGGGUGUUCUUGCUACACCUUAUUAAGGACUUCAAACUGCUUUAUGAUUUUACUUUCCUAACUUGGUCCUUUCAUAGUGGGCAUUACUCCUGUAUAAAAUAUGUUCUUUUUAUUUAACACAUCAUGAUGCAUAUUGACCUUAAACAUAUGGCAUUUAAAAAAAAAUAUUGCAGGGCAAUAUACAUUUUAUGGACAUGCAAGACUUUUGAAUUUUUAAGUGCUCAGGUACUGUAUGAGGUUCUGAGAAACAUUUUAUGUUUUUUUUUACCAUAUCCUGUUGUACAGUUAUUUGUGUUUUUGUUACCAUUAUAGGGACCAAUACAUCACUGAUACAUUACUUAUUAAUUAUAUUUGUUUUUCUGUAAAUGAAUGCCAAAAAUGUAAAAAAAAAAAAAAAAAAUGUAAUGUUAUUUGUGCCUUAAAAUAAUUGCAUAGGCAGACUAUCAAAAUGCAUACUCUAAAUACAAGGCUAAAGUUUUACAUUAUGGCCAGACAUA